UCAGAAAAUUUUUGUGUAGCCGCUUGAAUGAGGUCUAGUUUUACAAGUGGAAACUCUCUGGAUCUCCCCUGCUUUUCUGAGACAAAAUCAUCAUUCUCAUCAAGUGUUUCUCCUAUCGUGUUAUAUUGCAGCUUGCAAGUUGAACUCUGGCUCCUUUUGGUACUUUGGCGUCAACGAGAUGGCUACUCAUUUGAGAAAAAGCAGACUUCAGGCAAGUGGAACAAUCUGCAGCUGACAAAUCAGGAUCCAAGAAACCGAGCUGUCUAACAUGGACGCCAAAUUUGGUAUAUUAGAAUAGCGGACCAAACACUCGUCAUAACAUAUGUUGGCCUGUUUACCGAGGGGACAUUCGUGCAGGAUCCUCUCACUUGCUACGUCUAUGCAGUUUUGACAGUCUUUAGGUGCAAUGUCUCGUCUACAGAGGAAUACUCCAUAAACUUUAUCAGGCUCUUCUCCUACACUUGCUUUUGUAUACAUGGAAUUUCCACCAGUACUGUAUAGUGAUCUGUACAGUAAUCGGUUAAGAUUUGAGUGGAAUUUGCUUCCUACUGUAUAAUUAUUGGUCAUUGAGCAAGUGUAGUAUAAGAAUGAGGAUGUGGACAGAAGAAGAAGAUCAGAAUUGUUUGACAGAACAAACAGUGAAUGGAGCAACAAAAUCAGAAUUAAUGUUUGGCUACUGCACAAACACAAAACUAGAACCCACGCCAUUUUCACUUCCCAACUUCAGAGGAAAUAUUGCAGAAAGAAGUAGAGUAGUUCAGAAUUUUCACAAGUAAUAUAUGAGGAAGCAGACAGGUAUUGUGUGAACAUGUGCUAAUAACUAUCGUGCUUUAUUGAAAAAAUCACAAUUUAUUAUAUGUUAAUAAAUGUUAUUCAAAUUGCAGUCUUUUUUAGGAAAAUGUUUAUUCAUUUUCCAUUCUCACCUUUUACAAAAUCCAACACAACUUGUAGAAAUUAAAGGUCAUUUAUUCCUCAAAUAUAUAGGGAGUAUGAGCCCGUUUGGAUGGGCUUUAAGUUGGUCAAACCAAUUUAUAAGCCCCUUUUUAGCUUUUGGAUGUAUUUACCUAAUGCUAACUUUAAGCCAUAAAGUUUUUAAAGUCAGUCAAAAAUGAAAAACGUUUUCUAAAUAUUUUUUUCUAAGUGCUUAAAGCCAUUUUGUUUGACCAUAGAAAUUACUUUUAUAUCCCUUAUAUUUUAACUAAAUUCCCAAACUAUCUUUUUUAUUCUUUUAACUCUAAAAUUCAAAUACUUAUUUUUAACAUAAGCACUUUUAUCCAAACACUCAACUGCUUAUUUAUAAAAAUAACUUUCAGCACUUCAAAGUUCUAAAAGCACUUUAUACAUAAAAGUUACUUUUUUAAAAUUCAUCCAAACGGGCUCUAUAUGUUUUUACUAUUUAGGAAGUUUAACUCGUUCUAAGAUCCAGACCGUCCAAUAAUUGUCAAUUAAGGAGGAAGAUGUUUAGACAGUGAUUUUGCCUAUUCAUGUAAACAUUUAGUACUCACUUUUGGAGGCUUAGGAAAACACAAGUUUAGUUUAAUUUGUCGUGCUAGGCUUGAUAGUUGAGCUAUGCCAAUCAGACACAGUGAAUUUAUUGCUCACCCAUCCUUUUUAAUCGUCAAUAUUGCAAUUUUCGA